rnacentral:rRNA from 1 species
AUCGAACGCUGGCGGCAUGCCUAACACAUGCAAGUCGAACGAGUGGCAGACGGGAGAAUAAUGUCUUGAAACCUGCCUUAUGCAGGGGGAUAACUACUGGAAACGGUAGCUAAAACCGCUGACCAGCCGAUGUGCCCAGACGGGAUUAGCUUGUUGGUGGGGUAAAGGCUUACCAAGGCGACGAUCCCUAGUUGGUCUGAGAGGGUGACCGGCCACAUUGGGACUGAGACACGGUCCAGACUCCUACGGGAGGCAGCAGUGGGGAAUAUUGCACAAUGGGCGCAAGCCUGAUGCAGCAAUGCCGCGUGAGUGAAGAAGGCUUUCGGAUUGUAAAGUACUUUCAGAGGAGAGGCGUUACCUGCCGAGGAAGCACCGGCUAACUCCGUGCCAGCAGCCGCGGUAAUAC